AUGGCACUUCUGCGCGAAGCUCACCCGCCAAUUCAUGAAGGGUUGGGGGGCUAACCUUGGCCGGGGUCUCCGAGAUCGCAAAAGGCCCUCCUAUUGGCUAUCCAAGCCCUGGACGCCCGCGCCGACACGACCGGGAUUUCCCCGGAUGAGUGGAUGUUGCGAUACGACCUUGAAGACCAGCUCUCCACCAUUUACACAGAUGAAGAGGCCUACUGGCGCCUGCAUGGUACCCAACGGUGGGUGCUUCGAGGUGACGCCAACACGGCAUAUUUCCAGGCGGUGGCGAACGGCCGGCGUCGUCGCAAUUCCAUCCACUACCUGUGGGAUGGAGACACGCCUAUCGUUCUCCCCUCGUCCAUCCGUGCCCAUGUAGACGCCUUCUAUAAAGCCCUAUUUACCCCCACCCCAUGGGGUGGGGCUAGUCUCGCCCCCAACAUUUGGUCGGGUACGCAAUUGGUCUCGGCUGAGGCCAAUGUGGCAUUAGUAGCCCCUUUUGACGAGGACGAGGUCCUCGCAGCCAUUAAGGGGUUGAACCCCUCCUCGGCCCCGGGUCCGGAUGGCCUAGCCGUGACGUUCUUCAAGACGUUCUGGCAUACCAUCAAGCCGGAGGUCAUGGCCCUGUUUGAGGAAUUUUAUUCGGGCGCCAUGGACCUUGGGCGCCUCAAUUAUGGGAUUGUGACCCUCAUCCCCAAGGUCCCGGGCGCUUCUGACAUCCGCCAGUUCCGCCCAAUCACAGUGAUUAAUGUGAUUUUCUGGAUCCUGGCCAAAGGGUACGCCAAUAGGGUGACCCUCCUCACUGACACGAUUACCCAUCCGAACCAAUCCGCCUUCAUACAAGGCCGAUUUAUUCUGGAUGGGGUGUUAGUAUUCCACGAAGUCCUCCACGAGGUUCGGCUGAAACACCAUCGCGCG
rnacentral:rRNA from 1 species